CUUCCCGGCUCCAUUUGCGGCUGCCCAGGGAAUAAUUCCAGGGAUAUGGUAAUGUCUGGUGUCUGGACAGCCUCCAUGAGAUUAAAAAAGCAGCUGGUUUGGCAUUUUGGAGACAAAACAAGCCUGCCCUGCAGAGGCAAGCACUGCUUCUUCCCGGGAGAUGCCUCCGGUCAGGUGAACACCAGCAAAUAAAAAUCCAAUUCUGCAGAGGGAUGAUUUUCGCCUUCUGGAAGAUGAAAUCACGAAAGCUCAGAAACAGUGCGCGCUCUGUCUGAAUCAAAUUAUUCUGCGGCCUGUGUGGAUUUCCUGCGCCUGGCAGUCAGGUGCGUGCAUACAGGAAGUGCUCAUUACUGGCACAGCAGCAGAUGUCAGCCCCAAAGUGUCCGUUUUACUAGCUGGUGUUUCAGCAUCUGUUACGGGGAUCAACGAAGUGCGACAGCCGCCAGCGUGCCUCCGUGUGGACUUUUGCGAUGCUGUAUUUCCUCUUGGGAGGGGCCCCCGAUUCUGGACAGAAGGCGCUGGAUAAGUCGUUACGACUUCAUAGCCCCAGGCUCCUGGCCCAGGCAGGAUGAGGAAAGGAUGCUGCCCCAGGAUCGCCCGAAAUGUUUGGUUUGUUUUGUUUUGUGUGGCUGGAUGUGGCCGAGUUCCUGCAGCCCCAGCAGCUCUCAGGUCUGGCUGCCCGGCUGCUGCCUCAGGGCUGCACCUGGGCUGAGGCCAGAGCAGCUUCCAGGGUCUCAUUUCAGUGGUUUUUAUCAUCUAGGAGUUAUCCAGGUUUCCAGUAAGUCACAUUCCAGGGCAAGCAGCGCAGAGAUGUGGGUCCUUACUUCCUCUCCCAGGCUAACAACAAACAACUGAUUUCCUGUCCACAGCUGGGUACUCCAGCCACAGGAGAAGUCCCACCUCCAGGAAAAUAACAUUGUGUCUCUCUCAGCCCCGUCUCCAGCACACACCAAGCACGGACUGUCUCUGGCCCUUGGGCAAGCUGGAGCAGCCUUUCGUUUCCUGUCUGCCUGUUCGUGCACGCCCCACCCGUCUCCCAAUCCAGGCUGUGAUCCUCACCACCCAGCAAGCAGGCGAGGCACGGCUAGGAACCCAUUUUACAGGAUAGCUGUGAUUGGAACAUGUGUGUAAACGCCCGUCAUGGCAGCAUCCUUCUCCUGGUGACAAGUCUUCACUUGCAAAACAAGUCCUUUUAGCUCCACGCUAUGAAGAUUUUGCCUAGAGAAGAAGUGGUGGUUCUGCUUACCUGGUAACAUGUGCAACCGGAUCCACACUAUCGUGAGCCCUCACAGCUUCCCCUGGAUAUAUGGCAGGGCUCCCUGGUCAUCUUGCUUCUUUUGGUCACCGUCUGCUGCAAAUACUGCCACGUGUCGAGCUCCUCAUGCUGAGAUCAGGACCUGGGUCAAGGAGAGCCGGCUGUGCUUCUACGCCUGCCACGGCUGCUGAGCCCAGAUGGAAGUCACUUUGCACACCUGGGUGAACCCUCCCUACCCAUACUGCUUCUUUGUCCUGGACAAACCCGCACACCUCUGCCUAUCUUUGUGGGGUGCCCUCCAUCACACACUAAAUCACUCUCUUCUAUUUCUAUUUCUAGAAAGUUUAUAUUUCUAGAAAUCCUCCAAAAUCUUCAAACCCUGACUCAGCUCGUCCUUCCAGAAGGAGGCUGAGGCUUCUGCUUCUCAUACACACGUGGGGCGUCCCAGAGGUGGCUGCUUCCUCUUCCCUCCUCUGCGUUCUUCCUGAAUCCUGAGUCUUCAAGGAAGAUUGCUCACUCCUGCAGGACUCCAGGGGGUGUUCAGGCCACAUCAAUCCAGGGCUGUGUGAGUUUCCUGGAGCUGCUAAAACAAGUGAUCACAAUCCGGGUAGCUUAAAACCACAGUCAUUUAUUGUCUCGCAGUUCUGGAGGCUGGAAGUACAAAAUCAAGAUGUUGGCAGGGCUGGUUCUCUCUGAGAGCUGUGAGGAGAAUCUGCCCCAGGCCUCUGCUUAGCUUCUGGUGGUUUCCUGGCAAUCUUCAGCAUCCCAUGGCUUUUAGAUGGAUCAUCCAGUUCUCUGUCCUCACAUUCACAUGGUGCUGUCUGUGUAUGUCUGUAUCCAAAUUUCCUUCUUCUUGUAAUGACAUCAGCCAUAUCGGAUUAAGCAUCCACUGUUUUCCAGUCUGACCUCAUCUUAAUUUAACUAAUUACACCUACAAAGACUUUAUUUCCAAAUACAGUCACCUUUACAGGUACCGGGGUUAGGACUUAUAACAUAUCUUUUUAGAGGACACAGUUAAACUUACAGUAAAGCAUAACAGCAACAUCUUAAACUUGGACCUCUACUGAGUUAGAAGUGUCACUCUAGGGGUAGUAUGCAGAGAAUUUUGGAGGGAAAACGUGUCCUGGGAACAGGUGUGUGAAUUAGGAUGCUGUUAAAAGGUCACAGAAAGAGAUUACAUUCUGAACCAGAGUGAGGUUUGGGGUGGAUUAUUUUGUCUCUAUUUAAAAUUUUGUAUCCAGAAAUUCAAAGGCUUUUUGAAAAAUGUAUUUCCCUCCUCCCCUUCAGUGCCAGGUGUCUGAGCUUUGGAAACAUGGAUUUUCUUGCAGCUCUUCUGUGUGUUGUUGGAGGCCAAGCUCAUCAAACUGCCCAUAGUGGAGACUGAGCAGCUGUGCAUAGGGGCUGCUGAGAGCUGAGUUUGUUUAUGUAAAUUUUGUUUUAUUUUAGUCUUUCCAACAACUGCCACGGGGCCUAAUUCUCAGCCAAGGGCUAGGAGGAAGGCCUUUAUUGUUUAGAUGUAGGCAUUUGGGAUAACUUGGGAAGCAAACUCCACCAUGUAAUAUGUGAGCCCUUCCUGGGCAGCUCUCCUCACCCAGUGCUUCAUGGAGAAGCAAGACUGUUGCUGCCUUGGGAGAGGCUGCGGUUUUAUUGUGAGUCAAGCAUAAUUUUUCCUUUUUAAUUUCCACAGCUUUAUUUAGCUUUAGAAACAUUCCUUUCAAAUAUAUUAUGUUAUUCUGGUAUAAUAUCUUUUAUAAUAAAGCCAUGGAAAUUAUAAUUAAUCUUUUAUAAUAAAGCCAUGGAAAUUAUUCUGAGCAUAGCCUACAACAAAGAAAAAACACUCAACCACAAUAAUGAACCCAUAGACAAUUACAUUCUUACAAAUUAUUGUGUUCUAAAUACAAGCGUCUUUCCAAAUUUCAUGUAUUAAAUAGAUGGACACGAAAAGGAUAUAAAUAAAUAUUGCUUAAGUAAGUAAAAUAAAUGUUUAAGUCUACAUAUGUGUUGUAAUUUAAAAGGGCAUUUAAGAUGAUUGAGAAAACACUGGUAAAAGCAGUCAUUCCUUGAGCAAAUAUUUAGUGACACUGACAAUGGCCAGGAAAUGGCUAUAGAGGGAGGGGAGCAGGGCUCAGUCUGGCCCUGAGACUUCACAUGGUGAAGUGUUCCGUGAUUUGUCUGCAGACGCCUGCUAUAACACUGAUGCCUGACCCUGCUGACUACCUGACUUCAGGUUCCCUCUUUUCCACGUGAUUCCCGGAAACUUCCCAACAUCUUCAAGCCCUGACUGAGCUCCUGGGUCCAGCAGGAGGACGGGGUGCCUGGUGCUGACACUGCGUAGGCCUCUCGGGGGCAGUUGCCUCCCCUCCCCUCCUCUACACCCUUCCUGUGUUCUUGGCGCCCAUCUCCUAGGAAGACACUUUCCCUCAAGUGCUCUUGAUCCCAUUCUCUCCACCUGACAUAAAGCGAUUUUACACAAACCUGAGCAAUAAACAUUUAGACGUGGACCAUCGCACAGCAACACCAGUGGAAGAUUGCCCAGUCCACCCCAACCCCUGAGGUUCAGCCUGGCUCUUGGAGUUGAGGGGAUGGUGUGGAGAGGCCGCUGGGGAGGGCGGGCCAUGGCAACAAUGAGAAAAGAAGGUCCGAGGUGUUCAGUGGGAAGAAACAGGACAUAUCAGUACUUUAACAAGGCUCAGAAUCGCCCUUCCAAAAUGUCUCCAGGUUCAUAAUCUCCUGCGCUGCCCAGCAAUGGCUUCCUUUCUCCAUCAAUCAUCUCUUUGCAUUUUGCAUCUUUGCUCACCUCCCCCGUCCUCUCCUGUGGCCAUAAAAUUCAUCAGGCAUUCCUUACUGGGAAAUGCAACAACAGCAACAACAAAACCAGGAAGUGGCGACCAACUUCUCUGGGCCCUGUCUCCAUCUUCAAGGCUUGAAGGGGACAUUCUUUCCCUCUUACUCUUUUCAACUCAGUAUUUCUUGAAAGAGUAUCUGACUCCAGCAACCUCCUUUCCAUUCUCAUCGCCGCUGCCUCCUCCACCUUUUGCACCUUGGCUCUGUCCCGUGUCCAUCUUCGGUUGUCCUUCUUUCCUGAGCACCCUCGAUCUUUUGCAGCUUGGCUCUGUCCCUGUCCAUGUUUGGUUGUCCUUCUCUCCUGAGCUCCCUGGAAACACUGUUGCGGACCUGGGGUCCUGUGCCUGAGUCAGUACAGUUGCACCCGGGGAGGUCCUGCCCUCAGCUCAGGGCGCAGCACCCACAGCACGUAGAGUCCAGCUCGGGCAGAUCUCUCUGCUGUGUGCUUCCUUGUACAGGGUAGGAAGUGGUUCUGGGUUUCUUAUACCUACGUAUUGAGGCUUGUGCCCAGGCAUCCAGAUCAAGUGGAUUCAGGAGGAGCCACAUAACCACCAUGAGAGAUAUUUUGAGGCAUUAGCACGUGCUUUCUUUCUCUGAAACUUUUCUUUCCUGUCCUCCCACUCAAGCCAUUGCCUAGCCCUGAGCUCAUUGCAUCAGGAAGGGGUGUACAGACAUGGCCUGAGUCCUCCUGGCCCUUCCCUCCCACUGUCUAAGUCUAGAGUUGGAUGAAGAUCCUCGGAAAUAGAAUAUUUGGGGGCACAGUCAGCGAGGAGAGAAGAUUUACCCAGGCUUGGGAGAUUAAAUAGAAAAAAGGAUGGAUGAGAAUUGGGUAUCCCAAGAGAGAAAGAGGAAAUGCUCUGUCUGCUUCCAAAACAACGCCUCUGGAGAGGGAGGGACGUUGCUUCCAGAGAGGACGGCCACUGGGGCAUGGAUCCAGAUGGGAGGUGGCCACUUCCAACAGCUUCCUGUCCUCACUCCCGUCCUGGCACUGCAGAGACAGCCACGUGCAGUUAUCAAGGCUGAGGAGGAAAUGGCUGAGAGAGGACUAGGAGGACUGGCAGCCCAGAUGCCGAUAACCCGCUGCCACCCCAAUGCCUUGGAAUUGUGGCAUGACCUAGGAAGCGUUCACUCUAAGUUGGUCGUCAGCUUGGGGUGGGAAGUGAAAGCUUUGAAACAGGACUUAAUGCAGUCAAGUUGAGAAUAAGAACCGCGGCAUGUAUUUUGUACUUGACCUUGAGAACCCAGCACUCAAUGAAGAGUCGUUCUCUUCUUAGGAGAUGUGCUUGGACCUGUGAGGAAAGUGGCCAUCAGCAGACACACUGUCCAGGUCCAACCUCCCCAAUCAUCUUGGAUCUCAACAAUCGUGUCUAUUAAUUCCAGCAUUUUCCCUCCGCAGUUCAUCACCGCACGGCAGCCUGGGAUGGGACCAGGAGUAGUUGGUACUCUUGGCACAACUUCAACUACUUCUACUUUGCUAGAGUCUGACUUGUUUAGCA